UAUGUAUUUUACAUACCUAGUAUUAAAUGAAUUCUUAUAGAAGGAAUGCACAAUUGUAGGGAAAGAGUUUAACAGAAGUAAACUUUAUUAGAGACUCCAUCUGUCCAGAUGCAAAAUAGACUGCCUCUAAAUUACUGAACUUGUGAUCACUUGACAUUUUUAGCCAAAGGAUGAAUGACCAUCUGUCAGUGAUGAGGAUGUUCCAGAAGGGUUUACACAAAUAGUGGAAUGGAAAGUUGAUGGUCUCUAAGGUCUUUUCUGACCUUUAUAUUGUGUGACUUACAAAUGAACUAUAAUACAACUUUUUUAAAGUUAGAAAUGCCAUUAUUUCACAGAUAAUUAUUCUGAAAUACUACAGGAUGAGACCCAUUGAGAGGUUUGCGCAUUAAAUAAUAAUCAAUGAUUGAGUAAAACAGUGACGUUGAGAUGAUUUUCUUUAUUUUUCUUCCUUUUCCAGAUAAGGAUUUGAAGACACACAUUGAUUAGUUGAGGCAUUAAAUUGAAGUUUGGUCUAGAUUAAGAUUUAGAGCUCAAGAUUCAAAAAGCUUCCUUUGCAUGUUACAUGGUGAAACCUUCAAUUUCUUAAGCCAUAAGAAAAGUAGAUAUCACAGUUAUAUAAUGAGACAUUUGGCAUUUGAAAAUUAAAGAUGCAAAAGGCUUAAAUACUUACACAUUUUUGAAAAUAGAGUAUGCUUUCUCUCUUAAUUAAACAAAACUAAAGUCACGGCCCAGGACACAUUAAGAUUUGUCCAGAAAUCUCCUGUUGUUGCUUCGGCUUUAGCUCUUCGAAGAAAGAUAAGAGUAUUCAACUUGUAACAGUGUAAGUACACAAUUAACAGAUUAUAAAUGAAGAUCUAAUGUGAUAUAAUUUAAAAUUUCUAUAAUUCAAUCAAAACUUCCCUAUCCUACCCAGUUGCUUCACAAUAUGCCCUCUUUCACCAUACUUUGCACAUUCUAACUAUUUCAACCCAGGUGUUUGUUCAUGGUGUACACUUACUUAAAUUCU
rnacentral:lncRNA from 1 species